rnacentral:rRNA from 1 species
AAAAUUAAAAGGACGCGGUAACCUUGACCGUGAUAAUGUAGCAUAAUCAUUCGCCAUUUAAUUGAUGGAUAGUAUGAAUGGUUGAACGAAUAUUCCACUGUCUUAAAAAGAAAUAAACAAAAAUUAGAAUAAUAGUAAAGAUUCUAUUUAAAAUUGUAAGACGAAAAGACCCUAUAGAGCUUAACUAUAAUUUUUCUUUGUAAUUUAUUAUAAAAGAAAAAUUGGUAGUUUAGUUGGGGCGACUGUCUUUUAAAAAUAACAAAGACAAGCAAAAUUAAUAAUAAAAUUUAUUGUAUAAUCUAUAAAUUUAACAAUUACAAGAGUAGGCUAUAAUGACCCGUUAUUAUUAGAUAAAAAAAAUAACGAUCAAUAAAUAAAAGCUACCUUAGGGAUAACAGGAUAAUUUUAUUCUAGAGAUCUAAUCGAAAAUAAAGUUUGUCACCUCUAUGUUGAAUUAAGA